UAUAGCUAGAUAUUUUGUGUAUGAAUUGACUGUUUAACUUUAUGCAUGUUAUUAUAUGUUUGAGCCGUGCACCGUUUGUAGAAUUGUUUACUUACUAGUAUAUGUUCUAUUUUGAUGUGUUAGUUAUUUAGUUUAAUGAUCUAUGCAUGCUUACUUUGAUCAACGAUAUUGACAUAAGUUAAUGAAUGCCCCGUGUAAGAACUGUGGUGCUUUGAGAUGCCAGAAGGAUAGGAAGUUCUUCAUCGAUCUUUCGAAAGACUUCAUCACUAAAACGGCGCCCAAGCCUAGUUCGAUUGCUUCGCCGCCUUCCUUCACCAAGUUGGGUUCGUGACGGCCCGACCUGACCCAUCCCUCUUCGGUCUCAAGCGCGCCGACGAGUGUGCGUACCUCCUGUUGUACAGCGACGACAUUGUCAUCACAGCGUCGUCAAUGUCUCUCCUCCAUCGACUCCAGCAACAGCUCCUUUCCGAGUUCACCAUGAAAGUCUCGGCCCCUUGUACUACUUCUUCACCAUACGCGUCUCCCACACCAACGUCGGCUUCUUCCUAUCACAAGGCAAGUAUGUCGCAGAGCUGAUGUACCGCACCAACAUGCUGCAGUGCAAGCCGGACAACACACCCGUCGACACGCGUUGCAAGUUGUCCGCCGAUGCGUGGGCCCCGACCGAGGACGCCUCGGACUACCGCAACAUUGUGGGUGCAUUGCAAUAACUAAAUACAACAAAAGGAGAUUCAAAGUUAGUCCGAGUCAAAGGAAAUAAGUUAAACAAAAAGAGAUUCGGGGUUAGUCCCAGUCAAAGAAAAUAAAUACAACCAAAACGAAUUGUUGAGGAAAUCAUUAAUUAA